GAUAAACGCUGGCGGCGUGCCUAAUACAUGCAAGUCGAGCGGCAACAUGCCCAGCACCUUGUGCUGGAAAUCCGAAAGCUGAAUAUCGAAACUCGAAACAAAUCCGAAAUAAGAAAUCAGAAAUUUGAAGCCUUCCGGACUGAAAAGUCUUGAAGUUCAGGUUUCAUGCUUCGUGCUUAGAAUUUGUUUCGCGAGUUUCGUACUUCUAAUUUCGAGUUUUCCAACACAGCGUGUUGGGUAGA
rnacentral:rRNA from 1 species